UAAGCUUAUGCAUGGAACUGUCUUGCAUUUCAGUUCCCCGGGGAUAUCACUUAGGGAGCCUUGGCUCCACAGAUCAGAACGGUCCAUGCCCAGCUUCAGGAAACUGGCACAUCUAGUCGUUCAUCUGCCACCUGCUGAGGACAGGUUUAGGCAGGGGGAUCCCCCUCUUCAGCAGAGUAGUAUGUCUGACUGACUUACUACAGCUUUACUCAGAUCAGUGCACUGUAUGAAGUGAGGACAAGCCAGGCUUUGCUGACCCCUCACAUCACUGAACAACCUGUAGUUUUUGUCACCACGACUGUGAUGGAACCAGGAACCCACUUCAACUCUGACAUCCUGUACACCAGAGAAGCAGCAAGCAGUGUUGUUGCCCAGCUUUGCAGGUCCCUUACUUGCCCAGUUGAACAUGUAGCCACGUGGCAGGUCCCUUCUAGCACCACAGCCUCCAUGUGGAUCCCAGUAACAGAAGGUUCUGGGAGCCGCACUGCUGUUGUAGCUGAAGGCUGGAGCACUGGGUGCUGUAUAUGAGGCCUGCUCCAAAAGUAAUGCCUCCUAUUUUAUUAUGUUGGCCCACAGCGUCAGUGGCGGAUGUUGGUGGUACAGCAGUAGAGGUUGAACCUCCCCAUCUCCGUCCCCAUUACAUCCUGUUGCUGUGUGGCAGAUGGCAGCAGAGGGGCACUCUGACAGAAUGCCAUCUGACAUGGAGGUGUGCAUGAAGCAAAGGUGUGUCAUUGAAUUCCUCCAUUUGGAAAAAAUGGCACCCAUUGACACUUACCAGAUGGUUCUGGAGUCCAAACAGUGCACGUGAGCACUGUGAUGCAGUGAAUGUUGCAUUUCAGCAGUGAUGACAGUGAUGUGUCAGACAAGCCACAACCUGGACAGCCAUGCACAGCUGUCACACCAUGAAAUGAAGAGUACCUCCAUCAGCUCACCUGUGUGAAUCAGCACAUUAGGACCAGGGAACCGUGUGUGGAGGUGAAUGCUGGCUUCAAUGCAUUGCAAUACCACAAAGCUUGCAUCAGGUGUGUCCUACAAAUGCUCACACAGGAACAGAAAGAAUGCAGUCUGAGUAGGACCCAUUGAACCAAUACAAGGCUGAAGGUGAGUUUCCUGGAGAUGAGAUGUGGUUCCACCACUGCAAGCCAGAGUUUGACCAGCAGCCCAUGGAGUGGUGGCGUGUAAAUUCCCCAUAGAGAAAAGGUUCACGCAGCCCUCAGCAAAUAGGGUGCUGUGCAGAGCCUUCUGGGAGGGCAACCUGGACAAACCAGCGGCUCUAAAUGCUAUGCUGCCGUGCUGGCUGAGCUGAAGGCUCCAGCUUCCCCCUGGCUGUUAGGUCAGUGCUGUUACGUAUCACCGCGUGCAUUCGGAGCUGGGAAUUUCUGGGCUGCUUUAGAUUGGUAAAUAGCCAUUAUACAGAAGCUUCAAUUUAAAAAAAAAAGGGGGGGGAAAAAUCACUGACAGUGUUUUCGUGGACAUACCCACAUGUAUUUGCUGGAUUAACGCGCGCUCUCUGGCUCAGUGGGCGAGUGAGUGGUUUUAGAAACGCUCUGCGAUCCGCUGUCAAUGCACUGCAGCACGGCAGCGGGCACGGCAGGCGCGGAGCGCUGAGCGCUGCACGGAGCCCCGGGCGCGCACCGCUCUGUGCCAGCCCUGCGCACAGCAGCGCGUCGCGCGGCGCCGUUCCUUAGCGACGAUCUUGACGUACGGCCGCUCGAUUUCUUAAAGAGCUCAACUAUGAAAAAGCAAGACACGGGGAAAGCCGAAUGUAGCGGCGGCUCUGAGGAUGGGGAC
ensembl:lncRNA